AAGUCGAACGCUGAAGCCCGCAUCGCUGGGUGGAUCAGUGGCGAACGGGUGUGUAACACGUGAGCAACCUGCCCCUGACUCUGGGAUAAGCGCUGGAAACGGCGUCUAAUACUGGAUAUGAACCACAGUCGCAUGGCUCGUGGUUGGAAAGAUUUUUUGGUUGGGGAUGGGCUCGCGGCCUAUCAGCUUGUUGGUGAGGUAAUGGCUCACCAAGGCGUCGACGGGUAGCCGGCCUGAGAGGGUGACCGGCCACACUGGGACUGAGACACGGCCCAGACUCCUACGGGAGGCAGCAGUGGGGAAUAUUGCACAAUGGGCGCAAGCCUGAUGCAGCAACGCCGCGUGAGGGAUGACGGCCUUCGGGUUGUAAACCUCUUUUAGCAAGGAAGAAGCGAAAGUGACGGUACUUGCAGAAAAAGCGCCGGCUAACUACGUGCCAGCAGCCGCGGUAAUACGUAGGGCGCAAGCGUUAUCCGGAAUUAUUGGGCGUAAAGAGCUCGUAGGCGGUUUGUCGCGUCUGCUGUGAAAUCCCGAGGCUCAACCUCGGGUCUGCAGUGGGUACGGGCAGACUAGAGUGCGGUAGGGGAGAUUGGAAUUCCUGGUGUAGCGGUGGAAUGCGCAGAUAUCAGGAGGAACACCGAUGGCGAAGGCAGAUCUCUGGGCCGUAACUGACGCUGAGGAGCGAAAGGGUGGGGAGCAAACAGGCUUAGAUACCCUGGUAGUCCACCCCGUAAACGUUGGGAACUAGUUGUGGGGUCCUUUCCACGGAUUCCGUGACGCAGCUAACGCAUUAAGUUCCCCGCCUGGGGAGUACGGCCGCAAGGCUAAAACUCAAAGGAAUUGACGGGGACCCGCACAAGCGGCGGAGCAUGCGGAUUAAUUCGAUGCAACGCGAAGAACCUUACCAAGGCUUGACAUACACGAGAACACCCUAGAAAUAGGGGACUCUUUGGACACUCGUGAACAGGUGGUGCAUGGUUGUCGUCAGCUCGUGUCGUGAGAUGUUGGGUUAAGUCCCGCAACGAGCGCAACCCUCGUUCUAUGUUGCCAGCACGUAA
rnacentral:rRNA from 1 species